UACAGAGGUCUCAAGCGUUGUUCGGAUUCAUUGGGCGUAAAGGGUGCGUAGGUGGCGCCGUUAGUCGGGUGUGAAAUUUCGGAGCUUAACUCCGAAACUGCAUUCGAUACUGCGGUGCUUGAGGACUGGAGAGGAGACUGGAAUUUACGGUGUAGCAGUGAAAUGCGUAGAGAUCGUAAGGAAGACCAGUGGCGAAGGCGGGUCUCUGGACAGUUCCUGACGCUGAGGCACGAAGGCCAGGGGAGCAAACGGG
rnacentral:rRNA from 1 species